rnacentral:rRNA from 1 species
AGCGGCGGACGGGUGAGUAACACGUGGGCAACCUGCCUAUAGGACUGGGAUAACUUCGGGAAACCGGAGCUAAUACCGGAUAAUUCUUUUCUACUCAUGUAGGAAAGCUGAAAGACGGUUUACGCUGUCACUUAUAGAUGGGCCCGCGGCGCAUUAGCUAGUUGGUGAGGUAACGGCUCACCAAGGCCACGAUGCGUAGCCGACCUGAGAGGGUGAUCGGCCACACUGGGACUGAGACACGGCCCAGACUCCUACGGGAGGCAGCAGUAGGGAAUCUUCCGCAAUGGACGAAAGUCUGACGGAGCAACGCCGCGUGAGUGAUGAAGGUUUUCGGAUCGUAAAACUCUGUUGUUAGGGAAGAACAAGUACGAGAGUAACUGCUCGUACCUUGACGGUACCUAACCAGAAAGCCACGGCUAACUACGUGCCAGCAGCCGCGGUAAUACGUAGGUGGCAAGCGUUGUCCGGAAUUAUUGGGCGUAAAGCGCGCGCAGGCGGUCCUUUAAGUCUGAUGUGAAAGCCCACGGCUCAACCGUGGAGGGUCAUUGGAAA